rnacentral:rRNA from 1 species
GCCAGACUCCUACGGGAGGCAGCAGUGGGGAAUAUUGCACAAUGGGGGAAACCCUGAUGCAGCGACGCCGCGUGAGUGAAGAAGUAUUUCGGUAUGUAAAGCUCUAUCAGCAGGGAAGAUAAUGACGGUACCUGACUAAGAAGCCCCGGCUAACUACGUGCCAGCAGCCGCGGUAAUACGUAGGGGGCAAGCGUUAUCCGGAUUUACUGGGUGUAAAGGGUGCGCAGGUGGCAGGGCAAGUCAGAUGUGAAAGCCCGGGGCUCAACCCCGGUAUUGCAUUUGAAACUGUCCGGCUAGAGUGCAGGAGAGGUAAGCGGAAUUCCUAGUGUAGCGGUGAAAUGCGUAGAUAUUAGGAGGAACACCAGUGGCGAAGGCGGCUUACUGGACUGUAACUGACGUUGAGGCUCGAAAGCGUGGGGAGCAAACAGGAUUAGAUACCCGUGUAGU